UGAACGCUGGCGGUAUGCCUAACACAUGCAAGUCGUACGAGAGUUUUUAACUCUAGUGGCGGACGGGUGAGUAACACGUGAGAAUUUGCCUUUAGGAGGGGGAUAACAACUGGAAACGGUUGCUAAUACCCCAUAUGCUUUCGAGUGAAAUGGUUUUUCCGCCUAAAGAGAAGCUUGCGGCUGAUUAGCUUGUUGGUGAGGUAAAAGCUAACCAAGGCGACGAUCAGUAUCUGGUUUGAGAGGACGAUCAGACACACUGGAACUGAGACACGGUCCAGACUCCUACGGGAGGCAGCAGUGGGGAAUUUUCCGCAAUGGGCGAAAGCCUGACGGAGCAAUACCGCGUGAGGGAAGACGGCCUAUGGGUUGUAAACCUCUUUUCUCAGGGAGGAAUUCAAUGACGUGUACCUGAGGAAUAAGCAUCGGCUAACUCC
rnacentral:rRNA from 1 species